UACGGAGGAUGCAAGCGUUAUCCGGAUUUAUUGGGUUUAAAGGGUGCGUAGGCGGAUAUGUAAGUCAGCGGUGAAACUCACAGGCUCAACCUGUGCCGUGCCGUUGAAACUGUGUAUCUGGAAUGCGGAUGCUGUGGGAGGAAUGUGUAGUGUAGCUGUGAAAUGCAUAGAUAUUACACAGAACACCGAUUGCGAAGGCAUCUCACAAAGCCGUUAUUGACGCUGAGGCACGAAAGUGUGGGGAU
rnacentral:rRNA from 1 species